UACGGGGGGAGCAAGCGUUGUUCGGAUUUACUGGGCGUAAAGGGCGCGUAGGCGGCCACUGCAAGUCAGUUGUGAAAUCUCCGGGCUUAACCCGGAAAGGUCAACUGAUACUGCAGGGCUAGAGUGCAGAAGGGGCAACUGGAAUUCUCGGUGUAGCGGUGAAAUGCGUAGAUAUCGAUCGGAACACCCAUGGCGAAGGCAGCUCGCUGGCCUAAAACUGACGCUGAGGCGCGAAAGCGUGGGGAGCAAACAGU
rnacentral:rRNA from 1 species